UACGUAGGUGGCAAGCGUUAAUCGGAAUUACUGGGCGUAAAGCGUGCGUAGGUGGUUUGUUAAGUCAGGCGUGAUAUCCUGGGGCUCAACCUCAGAAUUGCGCUUGAUACUGACGAACUCGAGUGUGGUAGAGGAUAGUGGAAUUCCCGGUGUAGCGGUGAAAUGCGUAGAUAUCGGGAGGAACAUCAGUGGCGAAGGCGGCUAUCUGGACCAACACUGACACUGAGGUACGAAAGCGUGGGUAGCAAAC
rnacentral:rRNA from 1 species